CAACCAGGUAGCAUUCCUCACCGACGCCGAUCGGCGUGAUGCAAUCCGUAAGGAAUCCAGCACAACCGAUACGAACGUCGUUCGCACGCAGCGUCGAACGCUUUGUUCGGAGGGGCAAAUAGAGGUUGAGGCCUCAUGCCCACAAGAUGUUCCGCAUCCGAGAUUUCGAGCAUUACGCCUUGGGUGGGCUACCCGAGCGCAUGCGCACACACCCACGAGUGCCAACCACGACGCAUGCUAUGAGUUCCAAUCCGCACCACGACACCGACGGGCGACGCAAGACAGAAUGAAAUGGGACUAUUUUGUCAUCGUCAUGCCUUAACGAUAGGUAUCGAGCACAGGAGGCCACAAAUCGGACAAGGCUUGGGUGCCCUUGCGCCGAUGAUUGAAGAGGCGCGGUUGGGAU
rnacentral:misc_RNA from 1 species